UCAAUUCCAGGAUCCCACAAAUCUGGCAUUCCCUUCUUCCAGGAUCCCAUAAUUUUCAGAUUUCAUUAUUCCAUGACUUCAGGAUCCCAUAAAUCUGGUAUUUUCUAGGAUUCCUUAAUUCUUGGAUUUUGUUUUUCCAGGACUCCACAAUUCCAGGAUCCCAUAAACCUGACAUUUUCUUUCUCUAGGAUCCCAUCAUUCUUGGAUUUUGUUAUUCCAAAUCUCCACAAUUCCAGCAUCCCAUAAAUCUGACAUUCUCUUUUUCUAGAGUCCCAUAAUUGCAGGAUUUCAUUUUUCCAGGACCCCACAAUUCCAGGAUCCCAUAAAUCUGACAUUCCCUUUUGUUCCCAGUUUGUUCCCAGUUUGUUCCCAGUCCUUCCCAGUUUGCUCCCAGUCAUUCCCAGUCAUUCCCAGUCAUUCCCAGUUUGCUCCCAGUCAUUCCCAGUCAUUCCCAGUCAUUCCCAGUUUGCUCCCAGUCAUUCCCAGUUUGUUCCCAGUUUAUUCCCAGUCAUUGCCAGUCAUUCCCAGUCAUUCCCAGUCGUUCCCAGUCGUUCCCAGUUUGUUCCCAGUCAUUGCCAGUCAUUCCCAGUCAUUCCCAGUCGUUCCCAGUUUGCUCCCAGUUUGCUGCCAGUCAUUCCCAGUUUGCUCCCAGUCAUUCCCAGUGGUUCCCAGUUUGCUCCCAGUUUAACCCUGUCGGUCCCGGGCAGAUAUCGUGAACACGGCGCGCCC
rnacentral:lncRNA from 1 species